CUUUACCAUUCUCAUUGCACCACACCACCACCACCACCUACCGCCGUGACCAACUCCUCCCUCUUCACCACCACUUAGUAAGUCAGCUGUGUUUGAUCAUUCAUAUUUUCAAUCGGGUGAUGGCGGCUUAUGGUGCAGCCACUUCUCUCAAGAUUACGAUUCUAAGUAUUCCCCAAUCGUCUCGCGUUUCGCUGGCUCCUCCCCCUCCAAUAAUCUCACAGUUCGCCUCUUCCUGUUUUGCCAUGUUUGAUAGUCCAUUUCUCAAAGGGUCGAUGGCGGCCUUUCUUCUCAAGAUUACUAUUCAGCGCUCGUCUCAAACUUCGUUGCUUCCACAAAUGUCUCGUGUGAUCGCAGCUUAUGUUGGGGCGAGUUUCCUCAAGCGUAAGAUUCAGGGUAUUCUACCGCCCUCUCCCUCUGCAAAUAUCUUACUCCCGGCCUACCUCGCCGUGUGUCGCUUGCAGAGAGUCCUGCUAAAGUUGGACGACACCGGCUGCAGCAAGAUCCGGACGAAAGUGAAUGCUUUGGAUGACCGGAUCAAAGAGGUCAUAUGGGAAUUCGAAGAUUUACUGGAAUCCCAUUUCUAUAAUCAGAUUCUUCCACAGCUCGAGAGCGACAGAGGUCGCUUGUCUUACUCUAUAGAUCUGCAGAGUCUGCGUCAGAGUGUCGACUACUUCGUGGAGAGGGUGACAGAGAUGGCGGCAGAGUACAUUGUUGAACUGGCGAAUAUGCCUGAAGAAGAAGGCGAACCUCUUUCCUCAAGGAUUGAUUUUAGCGGAAUCAAUUCAAAGAUGGUUGGAUUAUCUAAUCAGUUUGACGAGGCCAAGAAUGGUCUUCUUCUUCCACAAGGUGAAAGGAAUUGGCUAUUAGUAACUGGGAUGGUGGGGAUUGGAAAGACAACUCUAGCGAAGAAAGUUUUCGAUGAUGCAUACAUUCAGAGACAUUUCGAGCUUCGAGCAUGGGUCAGAGUGGGCAGAAAAUGUGAAUCCAAUGAAACAUUAAGAUGCAUUCUAGCUCAGGUGGAUCCCAACAACCACUAUCUAAUGCUUGAUGAUGACUACCACCAAUUAGUUGGAUUCUUGAAAAUGAUACUGUGGGGUAAGAAAUGUCUCAUUGUGUUGGAUGAUGUAUGGGAAUGGGACGCACGAUUAAUGGGUCACUUGCCACGAGAGAAUGUUCAAGUCCUCAUCACAAGCAGGCUAAAAAUUAAAGAGUCUCCAGUUUUAACACUAGGCUUGUUAAAUGAAGAACAAAGUAAGAAAUUACUUGGUGAGCAGGUGUUCGGUGAAGACGGUUUUCCUCCUCACCUUGAGGAACUGGGAGAGGAGAUUGCGAAAAAAUGUGAAGGUCUCCCGCUUAUGAUAGUCACAGUAGCUGAGUUCCUAUCCAAAGAAGACCAGACCACUGAAAACUGGACGGAGAUUGUUAGAACACAACAUAAUUCCGUCUUCGUGGGUGCAUAUAAUCAAAUCUCCGAGGUGUUUUUCCCAAGCUAUGAUUACUUACCUCAAUAUUUUAAAAUGCUCUUUUUAUAUAUGGGAGCUAGCCCUCCAUAUAGUGCUGUUGAUGUAGACAACAUUGUCCAUCAAUUACAUGCCGAGGGGUUUCUUGAACCGAAUUUGGGAGAAAACAGUGUGGAAGAGUUUAUUUCCAAAUGCUUUGCUGAGUUUCUUUAUAGGUAUCAUCUAGUUCGACGAAAGGAGUAUCCGUGGAAAGGGAUACGCGUUCAUUCUUGUUGGAAGUACAUGAGUAGAAAAGAAGCCAGUAAGAUCAAGUUUUUACAUGUUUUACAAAGUUGUGAUGAUGAUAUGAAAGACCAACGUCGAUUGUGUGCUCAUUGCAAUACUUUAUUUGCCUUCAGACAAGUGUGUGAUUCAAUAAAAAGUGAUUGCUCAUCCAUAUCCCGUUCUCUCCUCUGUUUUGGUCCCUACCACCAAUAUCCUGUGCCUAUUCAUACCAUGGGUUUCAAGUUGCUUAGGUUACUAGAUGCUGUUACAGUCCGAUUUUAUCAUAUCCCACUUGAAAUUAUGAAGAUGAUUAGUCUAAAGUACCUUGCUCUAACUUGCAAUGGGGAGCUCCCUACUUCCAUAGCCAACCUUUUUCAGCUUCAAUCAUUGACUAUCGGACAGCAUACGAACAUUAAAAAGCGUGGGGUUCACUCAUAUAUGCCAUUGGAAAUAUGGGAUAUGCAAGAACUGCACCGUAUUGAAAUCUCAGGAAGAGACCUACCAACUCCUAAUUCAGAUGCUACUUUGGACAAACUCAUCGUUCUUCGUGGUGUGAGUCCGAAGAGUUGCACUAGGGAUAUUCUCAAAAGAAUUCCAAUUUUAAGAGAUUUAACUAUUCAACUGGAGUUGAAGCCUUAUGAAGAUGACGAUGAUAGAAACCCAUUGAGUGGCUUGGAUUAUUUUGCAGAAGAACUUCAGAAUUUAGAGUGUCUUAAAUGUAUAGUACAGAAUCCUGAUAUGAAGUACGAGCUUAUGGUUCCUUUGUCAAUGUUUCCAUCAUGCCUGCUAACAUUGGAGUUAAGUGGCAUAGGGUGUCCAUGGAAUCACAUUAGUGACAUUGGUUUGCUUCUACCAAAUCUUGUGUUUCUCCAUAUAUAUGACUAUGCCUUUCGCGGUCCAGAGUGGUAUAUAAAAUCACAAUGUUUUCCCAAUCUUGAGACACUUGUGAUUAAAGAUACUGAUUUGGUGCGAUGGAGAGCUCAACCUGGAAGCCUCCCAAGGCUUGACAACCUAAGCUUUUGCGAUUGCUACAGACUACAACAACUUGAUUGGACGCGUGAUCCAUCAAUGGACAGAACUUCAAUUUUUUUAAUUGACUGCAAUCCGUUAGCUAUCUCUUCUGCCAUGCAAUUACCGAGAUGUCGAGUUCUUACACACUCUACGUUUUGAGAUCGGAAUUUGUAUCCGAACUCUCAACUUGGAUAACAGGACUUGGAAGCUCAACAUAAGGACAAAGUUUAUAUGGUUAAUGAGAGAGCGAAAAUGGGCAGAGGCCGCCGUGUUGCCCUGUCAUUUCAAUUGUAUUACAAUGUUGUUUCUUGAAUUGAAAGAUAUUGAUUGGCUAUAUUUGGUCAAGGAUUAUGAAGUAUGAUGCUGAAUUAUGUUUGUAACAGAAACUGUUGUCAGUUUGAUUCCUUUGUGUGUGUGAAAACAUUGCUUGCAUCUUUUUUAUUUCAAGGAUUAUAUAUAUGUCCUUUAUGCAACUAUGCAUGAUU